rnacentral:lncRNA from 1 species
CAGGAAUCAAAUAUCAUGCUAGUCUUUCAGCAAUGAAGACGCUGGCUAGAGGGCUCAGAGCUUUGGUCUUGAUGUAUUUCCCUUUUACUGCUGCUACUUUCCAGUCAUGCAGGUCUCUGCUUUUAGUGUUGACUUUGGGAUGCUAGGCUGUAAUGAUCCAGGAGAUGAAUGGACAUCCUCUGCAAUCCACUUCAGCUCCUC